AGUGUGUGUGCAGGCAUGUCUAAUGGUCUAACGAGAAACUGUAUUUCAAUUAUGUUUUAAGUUUACUUAAAGUAUUGCGUGUUGUAUAUACAUCAGAAACGAUAUAUAUAUUACUUCAAAUGAAGCACUUUAAUCAAUGAAAUUAUUUAAUGAAGCUACUACCAUAACAUAAAACCUUUUAAUCCAACAAAAAAACAUAUCUGUUGGUCUAGGGUAAGUAGUUAGAAUAAAAAAAGCCACGCAACUGUUAUUGUUAUGUCUGCAAUAUGCAAUUCAUGUAUGUUUUUUCAAUUCAUAUAAGAUUUUUUUUAAGACAUUCAUAGUGUUACUAAAGAUUUCUAUUUAAAUGAAAUGAUUUCCACAAAACUAUUAAGUAGAAAAACUGUUUUCAACAUUGAAAAAAAAAAGUUUUUACCAACAAAUCAGCAUAUUAGAAUUUCUGAAGUGUGACUGAAAAUUCAGCUUUACCAUCGCAUAAAUAAAUGACUUUUUAAAAUAUA